rnacentral:sRNA from 1 species
ACUUACCCAUUCGAAGAGAUAGAUCUUGCUUUCCUCCAAGGAAUUAUUGGUGUUGGAUCGACCGGCGACAAUUUCCAGCACAACCACCCCAAAUGCAAAAACAUCAACUUUUUCCGUCAAUCGGCCUCUCAUUGCAUAUUCAGGAGCAAGAUAUCCACUUGACAAAGGCCACACAAGUUAAAAGUAGCUUUUAUUUUGAUGUUACAAUCAUAAGAAGAGAAAUGUUGAAAUGUUCUUACAGUGUGCCCGCAAUUCUUGUGCUUACAUGAGUCUGCUUCUCAUCAUAGAGCUUGGCGAGUCCAAAGUCAGAUAUCUUUGGAGUGAGAUCGGUUUCAAGUAGGAUAUUGCUGGCUUUGAUAUCUCUAUGCACGAUGCGUACACUGGACUCCUCAUGAAGGUAAGUUAGGCCACUUGCAAUGCCUAAAAUGAUAUUAAAACGUGUUCCCCAGUCUAGGUUUAAUCUACUAUGUCCUGUAGAAGUAGAAAUAAC